rnacentral:rRNA from 1 species
GGCGAACGCUGGCGGCGUGCUUAACACAUGCAAGUCGAACGGAAAGGCCCUGCUUUUGUGGGGUGCUCGAGUGGCGAACGGGUGAGUAACACGUGAGUAACCUGCCCUUGACUUUGGGAUAACUUCAGGAAACUGGGGCUAAUACCGGAUAGGAGCUCCUGCUGCAUGGUGGGGGUUGGAAAGUUUCGGCGGUUGGGGAUGGACUCGCGGCUUAUCAGCUUGUUGGUGGGGUAGUGGCUUACCAAGGCUUUGUCGGGUAGCCGGCCUGAGAGGGUGACCGGCCACAUUGGGACUGAGAUACGGCCCAGACUCCUACGGGAGGCAGCAGUGGGGAAUAUUGCACAAUGGGCGGAAGCCUGAUGCAGCAACGCCGCGUGCGGGAUGACGGCCUUCGGGUUGUAAACCGCUUUCGCCUGUGACGAAGCGUGAGUGACGGUAAUGGGUAAAGAAGCACCGGCUAACUACGUG